rnacentral:rRNA from 1 species
CUAACACAUGAAAGAAAGAACGCACCGCAAGGUGAGUGGCGCACGGGUGAGUAACUUGUGCGAACCUGCCCUGGAGUGGGGGAUAACCCGGCGAAAGCCGGGCUAAUACCGCAUACGUCCUGAGGGAGAAAGAUUUAUCGCUCUAGGAGGGGCCCGCGUCGGAUUAGCUAGUUGGUGAGGUAACGGCUCACCAAGGCGACGAUCCGUAGCUGGUCUGAGAGGAUGAUCAGCCACACUGGGACUGAGACACGGCCCAGACUCCUACGGGAGGCAGCAGUGG